ensembl:snoRNA SNORA70 Small nucleolar RNA SNORA70
AUGUUUCUUUAGACCAGGUCCCCUUUCCCCAUGGGAGUUUGGUGUGCAAUGGUUGCAAACAGCAGCCUCCUUGGUAGUGUUUGCAGCCUAUUGCCUAUAUGGGCUGUCCUAAGGGACCUUGGAGACAAUU